AAAGGAGAGUGCGCGCGAUAGCGUAAAAAAUAAAAAAAAAGGGGGUGUAUAUCUCACUCAGGGGGAGGUGUGGCGUAAUUUGAUAGCCCCCACUGUGUGGGCUUUUUUUUGAAAUAUUCAGUUUGUGUACUGCCGUUGUUAUAUAAUUAUUAAAUAACUAUAUAAUAUAUAUAUAUAUAUAUAUAUAUAUAUAUAUAUAUAUACAGGUCAAAGUGCAACUUAUAAUAAAGAGUUUAUGAGUUACAUUUAUUUAUUCAUUCUUUUUAAUUACUAAAAUUUUUAAUAAGAAGAACUUGAUAGUAAUUUUAANAUUAAUUAAAA
rnacentral:rRNA from 1 species